rnacentral:rRNA from 1 species
GCUUAACACAUGCAAGUCGAGCGGAGACAUGUAACGGAAAGCUUCGGCUGGAAGAUAUAUGGUUUAGCGGCGGACGGGUGAGUAACGCGUGAGCAACCUGUCCUUCACAGGGGGUAUAAGAUACCGAAAGGUGUUCUAAUACCGCAUAAGACCACAACGUCACAGUGGCGAAGGGGUCAAAGGAGCAAUCCGGUGAAGGGUGGGCUCGCGUCCGAUUAGAUAGUUGGUGAGGUAACGGCCCACCAAGUCGACGAUCGGUAGCCGACCUGAGAGGGUGAUCGGCCACAUUGGGACUGAGACACGGGCCCAGACUCCUACGGGAGGCAGCAGUGGGGAAUAUUGGGCAAUGGGGGAAACCCUGACCCAGCAACGCCGCGUGGAGGAAGAAGGUCUUCGGAUCGUAAACUCCUGUCCUAAGAGACGAGCAGGAGGCGGUAUCUUAGGAGGAAGCCCCGGCUAACUACGUGCCAGCCGCCGC